UGCAGCGACGCCGCGUGAGGGAUGACGGCUUUCGGGUUGUAACCUCUUCAGUAGGGAAGAAGCGAAAGUGACGGUACCUGCAGAGAAGCGCCGGCUAACUACGUGCCAGCAGCCGCGGUAAUACGUAGGGCGCAAGCGUUAUCCGGAAUUAUUGGGCGUAAAGAGCUCGUAGGCGGUUUGUCGCGUCUGCCGUGAAAGUCCGGGGCUCAACUCCGGAUCUGCGGUGGGUACGGGCAGACUAGAGUGAUGUAGGGGAGACUGGAAUUCCUGGUGUAGCGGUGAAAUGCGCAGAUAUCAGGAGGAACACCGAUGGCGAAGGCAGGUCUCUGGGCAUUAACUGACGCUGAGGAGCGAAAGCAUGGGGAGCGAACAGGAUUAGAUACCCUGGUAGUCCAUGCCGUAAACGUUGGGCACUAGGUGUGGGGGACAUUCCACGUUUUCCGCGCCGUAGCUAACGCAUUAAGUGCCCCGCCUGGGGAGUACGGCCGCAAGGCUAAAACUCAAAGGAAUUGACGGGGGCCCGCACAAGCGGCGGAGCAUGCGGAUUAAUUCGAUGCAACGCGAAGAACCUUACCAAGGCUUGACAUGAACCGGAAACGUCUGGAAACAGGCGCCCCACUUGUGGUCGGUUUACAGGUGGUGCAUGGUUGUCGUCAGCUCGUGUCGUGAGAUGUUGGGUUAAGUCCCGCAACGAGCGCAACCCUCGUUCCAUGUUGCCAGCGCGUAAUGGCGGGGACUCAUGGGAGACUGCCGGGGUCAACUCGGAGGAAGGUGGGGACGACGUCAAAUCAUCAUGCCCCUUAUGUCUUGGGCUUCACGCAUGCUACAAUGGCCGGUACAAAGGGUUGCGAUACUGUGAGGUGGAGCUAAUCCCAAAAAGCCGGUCUCAGUUCGGAUUGGGGUCUGCAACUCGACCCCAUGAAGUCGGAGUCGCUAGUAAUCGCAGAUCAGCAACGCUGCGGUGAAUACGUUCCCGGGCCUUGUACACACCGCCCGUCAAGUCACGAAAGUUGGUAACACCCGAAGCCGGUGGCCUAACCCCUUGUGGGAAGGAGCUUCG
rnacentral:rRNA from 1 species